rnacentral:rRNA from 1 species
AGAGUUUGAUUCUGGCUCAGGAUGAACGCUAGCUACAGGCUUAACACAUGCAAGUCGAGGGGCAGCAGGACGAUAGCUUGCUAUGUUGCUGGCGACCGGCGCACGGGUGAGUAACGCGUAUCCAACCUUCCCCUUAGUAGGGCAUAGCCCGGUGAAAAUCGGAUUAAUACCCUAUGUUGUGUCAUGAGGACAUCUGAAUAACACUAAAGAUUUAUCGCUAAGGGAUGGGGAUGCGUCCGAUUAGGUAGUCGGCGGGGUAACGGCCCACCGAGCCCUCGAUCGGUAGGGUUCUGAGAGGAAGGUCCCCCACACUGGUACUGAGACACGGACCAGACUCCUACGGGAGGCAGCAGUGAGGAAUAUUGGUCAAUGGGCGCGAGCCUGAACCAGCCAAGUAGCCGUGCAGGAUGACGGCCCUAUGGGUUGUAAACUGCUUUUAUACGGGGAUAAAGUGAGGGACGUGUCCCUUAUUGUAGGUACCGUAUGAAUAAGGACCGGCUAAUUCCGUGCCAGCAGCGGC